CCACAGCGGGAGGGAAGGCAUUUUUUGUGACGCAAAUGUAUGAAUCUUUUCAACACAUAUUGUUUUCAGGUGCCGAAUUCUUUACUUAAUUGUCCCCAGCAACUAAGCGGAAUUACGUUUUUCAUCACAUAAAUCUGACCAGAACUGGUUUUAGGAGACCAAGUGUGGGCAACAACAACCUGGCGUUAUCAGGCGUUAUCCAACCCACCCAGAUCACCAUUGCCGUGUGGAUGAAAGGCUAAAGGCUUUUGAUCAUGACUGCAAAAUAACCCACAAUGGAGCCAAAGAAAGUUGCCAGUGCCAGCACUUUGAUAAAGAAGAAUCAUUGGCCUGAGGACAACAGGAAGCUACAGCAACACUACUGAGACUCACUUCCUUUUUCAUCUUGAAGUACAUUUGAUUACCACAAGGCAGACGGGGCCAACAGUAGCUCAUCAUCAAGCACUCUCUAGUCAGUCAUGUCAAAACCAAGCAUAAAUGUGUUUUAUAUAAAAAUUUGCUGUACUCAGAAAGACAUGAUCUUGAAUAUUUAGUAUGCAGUGAAAUGAGUGAAAGCUAUUAAAUGAACCCUUUGCUGACUGAUGUAUG